GCAGAGCUGACACGCUGUAGCAGGUACGUGUUGAAUGUGUGUACCUUGACUGUCCGGGGUUUGGAGGUGCAGUAGCAACUGGGCCGGGCUUAGCAGUUUGUGAACAGUAUAACAAUGCAGUAAAAUAAAGAAUGAUGUCAUUAAGGUUAAGGUUAGCAUUAUUGUAAAAAAACAAAGUUCGCAUCCUUAAUCAGUCACUGGUUGCUCCACCCGGCCAGCACGCAAAGUGACAGAAAUCAAACACACCUGAGUUGAUGCCUGAACAACAGGUGCAUUCUGGAUCCGGCUAGCACGCUAAAUGCUAAACCGUGGUGGUGGCUCUUCCAGCGGUGACUUCAGAUUGUGGAGGACUUCACGGUACAAAAGACUCACACAAAGCCGUCCAGACAGCUUCUACUGUAGCAUCUCUGAUUCAAGACAAGAGAGGAGCACAGAACUCGUUAAAUGAGAACCUCGAAGUAGAAGAGCCCCCCACUGACAGGUGCAUGCUCAACUGGCUUCUCACGGCCACCGCUCUGCACUGCUCCCAUACGACGGUUACAUCUGAUAACGCCGUCCCCACCACCGGCGUCAUUGCUGAAGCACAGCGCCCACCCUCCGGUUCCACC